CCCCAGGGCUUUCGUCAGGAUCCUUCCGCAUUUUUUAUGCUCCAUGGGAGAUCGUCCGUUACAUCCCUGGGAGAGCGAUUUCCAUCUCCAACGUCCUUGGUCUGGUCUUCAGAUCAGGGAUUGGUCGUCUCCGUUUUGGAGUUCUACCGCCGGAUACCGGAUGUGUUUCAGACGAGUUGAAGGCCGCUACUGUCCGUCUUGGACAGCUCAUGGCGGUCUUCUUAGUGAUGAUUCAUACAUCU
rnacentral:snoRNA from 1 species